UACGGAGGAUCCAAGCGUUAUCCGGAUUUAUUGGGUUUAAAGGGUGCGUAGGCGGCUUAUUAAGUCAGGGGUGAAAGACGGUGGCUCAACCAUCGCAGUGCCUUUGAUACUGAUGAGCUUGAAUACACUUGAGGUAGGCGGAAUGUGACAAGUAGCGGUGAAAUGCAUAGAUAUGUCACAGAACACCGAUUGCGAAGGCAGCUCACUAAACUGUAACUGACGCUGAGGCACGAAAGCAUGGGGAGCAAACAGG
rnacentral:rRNA from 1 species